AUUUGAAUGUCUUAUUACCCUGGAAAUUAAAUGCUACUGAUACAAAAUUGAUAUAUUAUUGUGCUUUUGUGUGAGGACCUUAUUGAUCUUGUUAAUUAAUUAACUAUAUUUUGCAGGGGUUGAUGUUAACUAUGAAGAGAUAAUUGAAGCAACUUCAAUUGGCUUUAGUUCAGUGAUUUCCAAAUUUGUUCGAAUGUUGGAUUUGGAGAAGGGAAUGAUGGACUACCUAUAUGCAAAGUGCACUCCUUGUAUCAUAGAUUGUGUAAUGGCAGAGCUUGAGAAGUUGGGUCAGAAAUAUCGUGUGGCUCUGAGUUGCAAGUAAUAAUGAAAUCUGAAGAUAUGUGUUUGGAGUCCGCUAAGUUCUUCCCUGUGUUUGAUAAGGUCAAGAAGCUGCAAAAGGGACUGUCUAAGGAACCCUGUGAAUCACUGACGAAGCUUACAAGAGUAUCACUUCUAGUAGUGUAUAUCCCAUGGAUGUAUUUUUAACUUGUAAAUUUAUUGUAU